AGAGUUUGAUCAUGGCUCAGAACGAACGCUGGCGGCGUGGAUAAGACAUGCAAGUCGAACGGGAUAUUAUUUGUAGCAAUACACGUAAUGUCUAGUGGCGUACGGGUGCGUAACACGUGGGCAAUCUGCCGAGAAGUGGGGGAUAGCUCGCCGAAAGGCGAAUUAAUACCACAUGCGGUUAGUGAGGACAUCCUCACAAUACCAAAGCCGGGGCAACCUGGUGCUUCUUGAUGAGCCCGCGGCCUAUCAGCUAGUUGGUGAGGUAACGGCUCACCAAGGCUAUGACGGGUAGCUGGUCUGAGAGGACGACCAGCCACACUGGAACUGAGACACGGUCCAGACACCUACGGGUGGCAGCAGUCGAGAAUUUUUCUCAAUGGGGGAAACCCUGAAGGAGCGACGCCGCGUGGAGGAUGAAGGUCUUCGGACUGUAAACUCCUGUCAUUUGGGAACAAUUGUUGGCGAUUAACUGUCGUCAACUUGAUAGUACCAGAAGAGAAGAGA
rnacentral:rRNA from 1 species